AUGGAGUCAGGCUCUGAUGACGGGAGCAACAGCAGCAGCAGCAGCUGCCCCCCUGGCAUCGCGGCCUUGCGCUCAGGUCGUACUGUUGCUGGUGGAAAGAACAAGUCUGCACCAAGUCGUAGGCAGAGAGUGACUACUGACUUAAGCAUAUAUUCAGACCUUUCCUGCCGCAGGGCACCCGCCCCACCUCGGCUCCAGGGGGUUCUCCAAAAGGAUUCAGCUAAGGAGCUUGGGCAGGCUUGGGCCAAGUUUUUCCAUGCCAAUGGCAUUCCUGGGGAGAAAGCCGACUGCCCGCAUUUCCAAGAGGCCAUGAGAUUGACGCAACAACUUGGUCCGGUGGUUCAGGACGUUCCUACAGGUUCAGAAAUUGAUUGGCCAUGCCUGCAGUCCGAGUAUGACGAAUUGAUGGAGCGUGUGACCGAAUGGAAAGGUUGGUGGGAUCUGUAUGGUGUUACUGUGAUGUGUGACUCAUGGAUAGGACCUACUGGGACAACCAUCGUAAACUUCAUGAUCUCCUGCGAUAGGUGCAUGUACUUUCACAAGUCUGUUGAUGCCACCGGACGCAUGCAGAGUGUUCCGUAUCUCUAUGAAUUGAUUAGGAAGGUGGUUGUGGAGGAGAUUGGGCAAGGCUUCGUAGUUCAAAUUGUGACACAGAAUGGAUCAAACUUCAAGGAAGCGUGCGGGCAACUCAUCAAGGAGUAUCUGCACAUUGUUUGGCAGCCAUGUGCGGCUCAUACUGUUAAUCUCAUGCUGAUGGAAAUUGGAAAUAUCCCCAAGGUUGAUGCGGUGCUCUCCAGUGCCAAGCGGAUAUAUAGGUUUUUCUAUAGUUAUUCUGAACCUCUGCACGCUCAAAUGAAAACCAAGAUUGGUGGAGAGUUGAUCCCACCCAAUGCCGCAAGGGAGUAUGACUGCUUGAUAAGGUGCUCCUGGUGGGAAGAUGUCAAAUGGGUACUAGAUAGAAUCCGACCACUUUAUGCCAUACUUCAGCACGCAGACUCACCUAAGACUAGGUCAAUUUCUGGAUUUAUGCCUAGAAUGAUUGCUGCUAGGGAUGAAUUACAAUCUCUUUUCCCGGAGGGUUCAGAAGAUUUGAACGAUUUCAUGGAUGUGGUUGACAGGAGGGUUGCAGAUCUAUAUGAUGGCACUCUUAUGAUUGCAGCUGGUGUGCUUGAUCCUGAAGCCCACUACAAGCAUGAUCUUGCAAGCAAUCCAGAUUACAUGCAAGCAUUCACGAUGGCAAUUGAGAAGGUUGCAGAAUCACCUGCAAAUGCAGUGGCGGCACUGGACCAGUUCGAAACUUUUCGUUCUUCUAGCGGGAGGUGCGAGCGAAACUGGAGCACAUAUGCAUUGAUGCAUGCACAAGCGACAAAUCAGCUUACCUCUGAAAAGCUUCACAAGUUGGUCUAUGUCCGAUACAAUCUUAACCUGCGGUUCGAACAAUCUAAAACAGAUAAGGAAGAAAAGGAUGGCAAGGGGAAAAAAGAGCUCGAUCUUUGCAGAUUGAUGAUGGAUGUUGCACUAUAUGAUAAAGAAAACCCUAUCAUGGAUUGGCUGAAAAACCCCGGGAGUGCAUCCUUGACUUCACUGGAUGAAAAAGAUGAAUGUGAUCUCCCUACACCAUCUAGGGCUGUGAUUGGUAUGUUAUGCAAAGGGAAAUCAAGUGAAGAUGUCCUUGACAAGCCAAUCGGGGUUUUGGAAUUGAAGAGGAACUGCACCCUCUCCAGCAGGAAGCAAAAGAGGAAAAGGGGGGAGAUGGCUACUGAUAAUAAUGGUUCGUUGCACGGAAUGUCUACUAGGAAAAAGACGAAGGAUCUCUCCAGCCUCUAG
rnacentral:rRNA from 1 species